rnacentral:rRNA from 1 species
UACAGAGGGUGCGAGCGUUAAUCGGAAUUACUGGGCGUAAAGCGCACGUAGGCGGACUAUUAAGUCAGGGGUGAAAUCCCGGGGCUCAACCCCGGAACUGCCUUUGAUACUGGUAGUCUCGAGUCCGGAAGAGGUGAGUGGAAUUCCGAGUGUAGAGGUGAAAUUCGUAGAUAUUCGGAGGAACACCAGUGGCGAAGGCGGCUCACUGGCCCGAUACUGACGCUGAGGCACGAAAGCGUGGGGAGCAAACAGG